CAGCAGCCACGGUAAUACGAAGGGUGCAAGCGUUAAUCGGAAUUACUGGGCGUAAAGCGCACGUAGGCGGAUAUUUAAGUCAGGGGUGAAAUCCCGCAGCUCAACUGCGGAACUGCCUUUGAUACUGGGUAUCUUGAGUAUGGAAGAGGUUAGUGGAAUUGCGAGUGUAGAGGUGAAAUUCGUAGAUAUUCGCAGGAACACCAGUGGCGAAGGCGGCUAACUGGUCCAUAACUGACGCUGAGGUGCGAAAGCGUGGGGAGCAAACAGGAUUAGAUACCCCAGUAGUCCCUGUCUCUUAUAA
rnacentral:rRNA from 1 species